rnacentral:lncRNA from 1 species
CUCAUGGGGUGGGUCUUUCAAGCUCAUUCUCUUCAGGGAUCUUCAGCACACCAAUUCUGUAGUCACAAUCAACUACAAUCGCUGACUUGAGAUGGCCACAUCUUCAAGAGUGAUGUUGUUGGUCCUGAAGAAGAGUCCGGUACUCUGAUGCCUCUGGGGCUGAGAGCUCAGGGUGUGGGCACUACCGAGUUCCUCAGCAGCAUCUGCUGUCUCUUCUGCUCAUGGAACAGCUAUUUUCUUACUUUGACUGUGUGAUUGCAUGAGGCAAGCUGCUCCACGGAACCACCCAGAAGACAUGCUCUGGAAUCAGGUUGACGAUCUCCAAAUGUUAGUUUACAUUCUCAGGUUCAUCCAAACGUUAUCUACCCAAGGGGUCUUGAGAAGAACGAGGAGACAGUGGACAGAGCCUUCUUAUACUCUGACCUGGCCAAGAGAGAGGAUCCUGGUGGGCAGAUUUCUCAUCUAUGAGGCCAAUCUGAUCGUCAAACUGAUGUAAGUCCUGCCAUCUUGAAUUUUCAUUUUUCUUAUUGUUGUGAUGGAAUGCUUCACAAAGGCAGCUUAAUGAAGGAUGGAUUUAAUUUCAUAUUAUUGGGUGGUGGGGAAGGCAUGGCGGCGGGCAUAUGAGGAAGCUGGUCACAUUACAUCUUCAGUUAGGAGGCAGGGAGAGAUGAAUGGUGGGACCCUGCUUACCCUCUCCCUUUUAUUCACGUUGUGAUUCCAGAUCACGGAUGACACUGCCCAUGCUCAGGGUAGACCUUAUCCUUGUCUCAGUCACCUCUGCUCAGGAGUGCCCCCACAGGCGUGCUCAGAGCUUGGCUCCUAGGGGUUUCUAAAUACCUGUAAGUUGACAGUUGGAAUUCAUCAAUGCAACUUUACUUCUUGUCAUUUCGAUACCCAAAUGCCGUACCUUUAAAUCAUAUUUUUUUAUCCCUGGUUCCUAAAGCCCAUGUUCACCUCAUAAAACAUUGUGUAUUUUGUCCAUCUCUAGAAGUCUCUAGAGACUUAAUGAUUUCAUUGCACUGUUCUAAAGUUUGAGAAAAAAAAUUCUACUGAGAUUUGGGCAACCUUUUAACUGUGA